UGCACUCACUACUGUAAGCCGCUCUGGAUAAGAGCAUCUGCUAAAUGACUAAAA
rfam:Salmo salar isolate Sally breed double haploid chromosome ssa18, whole genome shotgun sequence.